CCAUUAGUACGUAUCCAUGCAGGGUUCUCAAUUAGAUUGAGCAUUGAGCAAAAGAAUGGAGAAAUUGAUAUUCUAUGUUUCAUGGUUCCUCAUUGUUUUGUUAAAACUAUUUACAUAAUGUCUAAGGAUCCGUUUGGUAUGGCUUUUUGCAUCUGCAUCUGCAUCUGCAUCUGCAUCUGCAUCAGAAGAUAGAAAAAGAAAAAAUGUAAAUCCGAGACGUAAAAAUUGGGGAGUCGUUUCUGAGAUGGUGAUGAAUUGUCACCAUCUUGGGUGUCCUUUGAACCAGUUCUGAAGAGCAAAGCAGCCAGGACUUGGCCUAUGCUCUAAAGCCUCGAAUGACAUUCUCAAAGUGAAAAUUCUUGGUACUAUUCAAGCACGUCUCAUAUAAGGUUAUCGAUAUGAUCAGUCGGCAUAUGCAGAAAUUUUAGCUUUUGCUUCGAUACUAAUGCCAUAGUACCAUUUAUCUUACCAAACAAGUCCUUUAACGAAAGGGACUUAACCUAUACCCUAAAGCCGGGGUGUUCCCAAAAUGAAAAUUCCUAUUUUAUUCAA
rnacentral:lncRNA from 1 species